AAACUGAGAACACUUACUACCUCACUUAAAAGCAAACAAAGAGGAUUUCUUAGAGGAAUGAACAAAAGAAAGAAAAUGCGUGCACACAGAAAAUACCAUUUAGGGUGUAUUUAGUAUAACACAUGUCAGUUUAGAUCUCUGCCUAACUAACUUGCAGGAAGACUUCAUUGAACACCUGCCGUAGGUUUGAUUGUCUGUUGAUAUUAAUGAGAUUGUGCAGGCAGGACAGACAGCAGGUUGAAAUCCUCCUAAAAACAGAGGAUCUGGCAUGAGUUAUGGACUAGUGCCUGCAGAAAUCACUUCAAAAUAGGAAAAAAAAUAGAUGGAGGUCCAACCCAGGUCUGUCUGAUGUUAAAAAUCCAGUGUAAACUAUAAUGCCUCUACAUGGGAAGCCAGCAAUAUUCUUUGUCUUUAAGAAACUUUCCGUCUAACUGUGGAAAAAACAUACCAGUAGGGUCAGGGAGCCACCUGAAAGAGUAGAUGUGCACAUGUUAGCAACGUGAAAUUAUCAAAGGCUUGUGGUUAUUGAGCUUUACUUGGUGUCAGGGGCUGUGCCAAGAACCUGACGUCUGGAGAAGAUGGAGCUUGGGGCUGGAUCUUGAAGCAGGUGGGGAGAAGGGGAAAGCAAGAAGGGAGAUUCCUUCCGGAAGAUGCAAAGCACGACAGAGGCAUGAGGGACCACAGCGGUGGCUGGCUCUACUCUAGUAGCUCAUAACAAAGGGAAUCUCAACUCCAGUCAGUCUGAUGUCACAGCAUACGCACUGCUGGGAGUUACUCAGAGAAGUCACAUCUUCACAUCACUUUGUCCUAUCGUCUGCUUCAAACUCAGCCCAUCCUAGUCACAGCCCAGCAUGUUCAAAGAUAAUGCAGCGAACAGUAAGGUUUUCAAAGGAGGCCAGUGUAAGGCUGAGGAAGAGGGAGAGCCAGAACUGCUUCUGCUUUCUGGAGUCAACAUGGAGAAGGAGGAGAGCAUACAGGAAGAGUAUGGGUGGCCUUGAGGAAUCAUUUGCUUAGAGAAUCAUCUGGAUCAGCACUGAAAGACAGCAUCACACCCUCCCUCAAGCCGCUCCCCACUGUCCUCCCCUGAAAUCACUCCUAAGACAAAUAUGUGCACAAUGCAAAGUCAGAAUGUAUUCUGAAACCUGGAGAUGAUCUUAAAAUUGUGUACCCAAUGAAAGGAAAUUGAUGAUAAAGAUCAAGCAAUGCAGUUGCUGAUUUUCCAGUUUAAGUUGAGCAUAAACAUCCAGCACUAUAAUCAUACUAAUAAAUUCACCACCAUCCUAUUGUCAUCAGAAGAAUUUAUUUCCUUGACCUUAUUGUCUGAGAAUUGAUGGAGUUCUUUCUUGCCUCAUAUCCGGCACCAGGAUGCGCAGCCUGUGGUUUGCGUCCACACUCCCACCCUCUGUUUCUGUUCUUCUGUGGGUGCUUGUGGCUCCAUCCUACCCAGCAUUCCCCCUCAGCGCUCGGUUCCGGUAUGAGGGCUCACAAGCUGCUGUCCUGUUGCUAAUACCGUGUAGAAAAGAAAGACCUGGUGGUGGGUCUGGGACUACAGAAUCAGAACAAGUUUGAGUUAGAGGAGAUUUUUACACCAGCUUUGUAGAUCUGAGACAGGACAACCACCUUCCACAAUCCUGGUUGGUUUCUGAAGAGCACUCUUUAGAGCAUGUCCACUUGGGUUAGCUGAAAGACCUGUAUCUGAGCAAGGCAGAUACAGGUGAGAUGGCAGGAGUGGUUGCUGCAUUAUUCUUCAGUCCAAGAGUAGCUCUAUCAGAAAGUAGAAAAGGGAAGCUGAAGAGGGGAGGAAGUUGAUUAAUUGCUUCCAGCUGCUACUGUCGCUCUAGACACAGCAUCAUCUCGUGUAAAGAGGUCUCACCUAAGAGUUAAGGAACUGAGGAUUUAGGGGCAACCGUGUGUGACCGGGGAAGAGGUCCCUUAGCCUUCGCUCGGUCUCUGUAUUCCAUCUAUGAGUAGAGUCAGGAUCCAACGACUGUGCCCUUGGCAAUAGAUACAGCUCUCUCCUCUGAAGUGCUCAACAUCGUGAGGGCAGAGCUCGGGCUAUAUCUGCACACACGGAUCUGGAUAAGAAAUCUAGGAAGUUUAAAUAAUGCUUAAAAUUAGUUAGUAAUAAUACUAAUGAAAAAGAGGUGUUUUUUGUUUUGAAUUCACCAUGGUUUUCUUUCCUAAGUGUUCUCUGUGAAGAAGCCGUCGUGCGUCCAUAAUUAUACAAUAGCAGCAGAGUCCCAUGCCUUGCUGAGUCCAGAGGAGCUGUACACUGGGACACACACGUGCAGCCAAUGGAAAACACCUCCUUGCCUGUCAUCUUAUUCUGAGGCAUCUACCCAGCUAGCUGGCACCACUCAGAUCUUGGAACCUCCUCCCAAGGUUGCCCCAGAUGUGCAUCCAAGGGUGGCAUCAGGUGGACACCGGGUGGCAUGGACAGGAGCCCAAGGGUACUUCUGUCAUUCCUCUCCUGUUGUCCCUGGUGGAACUUAUUAUGUUUGACCUUGUGAAAUCACUCUUCUGCAACCUUCCAGCCUCUCCUAGAAGUCUGUCUGAUUGGCCUGUUUUGUGACUUUCGCUCUGAAGGACAAUGGUGGACCCUCUGGCACAGGAGAAGUCCCCUGUGGAGCAGAGGCAGGCAGCCCUGCCAGAGGAGGAGCUCUUUGGACCCCCUGAGUCUCUGCUGUGGAAGAUUUAGCUGUGGAGUCCUAGAUCUCCGACCAACCCAAGGUUGAGACAUAGAGCGGUCUGUGUCUGCAGAGCACAGCAGGAUGGAAAGUCAACUACUCAAGACCAGGAAGCUGACUGACCUGCCCAGCCACUGAGAGAGCGACUGUCCUUCAGCCUCAGCAGGGGCAUUUCUGCCAGGGAACCUGUUGUGUUCAGAGAGAAUGAUUUCUCAAGAAGGACCUGGAACCAGUGGCCAGUGGCCACACCUUUGGGGGACCCUGACGAAUCAAGGACAUCUUCCCCUUGGAGGAACAUUGUAAAAAGACCAGAAAUAACUCUAUGCAGUGUCAGCUAUCAAAUAAUACUGGAGGUGCAAAGGCUUAAACAUUUGCCAAAAUGUGUAAAUACAGGCCUUAAAGAGGUGGUACUUCAUGAGCUGUAGCGCAAAGAGCUCUGGGGGAAACGCCAUGCUUUGAACAAAGCCCAUGGACGACCUAGGUCUCAGUUUCCUCAGCAGCAAAAUGAGUGGAUUGAAAAGAGUGAAUGCUAGGAAAAGUAACUUCUAAUUUAAUUUCCUGGAGUAGUAAUUCUGGGAGUUCACUGGGCUGGAGCUCAGAAGGGAAGUAGGCUGAUGACUCAAAUA